GACGAACGCUGGCGGCGUGCUUAACACAUGCAAGUCGAGGGCACCGGGUUUCGGCCCGGUGACCGGCGAACGGGUGCGUAACACGUGAGCGACCUGCCGACCCGCGGGGGAUAGCCGGCCCAACGGCCGGGUAAUACCGCAUACGGUCACCGGGGGGCAUCCUUCGGUGACGAAACCUCCGGGGCGGGUCGAGGGGCUCGCGGCCUAUCAGCUAGUUGGCGGGGUAACGGCCCACCAAGGCGGCGACGGGUAGCUGGCCUGAGAGGGUGGCCAGCCACAUUGGGACUGAGAGACGGCCCAGACUCCUACGGGAGGCAGCAGUGGGGAAUCUUGCGCAAUGGCCGCAAGGCUGACGCAGCGACGCCGCGUGUAGGAGGACGCCCCUCGGGGUGUAAACUACUGUUGCCCGGGACGAACCGGCUAUUUCGAUAGCCCUGACGGUACCGGGUGAGGAAGCACCGGCUAACUCCGUGCCAGCCGCCGCAGUAAUAC
rnacentral:rRNA from 1 species